UACACGCGUGCAUGAAGGGAGUCGGAGAUCUGUGAAGCUGAUAACAGUGGUAACCGCCAAUGGAAUUAUGGAUGAUUUUCACUUUCUUCUUUAUACUUUUUAUUUUUCCAGUUGGGAAAAACCCCAGCACCAUUCAAAAGGAGAGAAGGAACGCCAUGGGUUUGAGACUUCCUGCCAGCCGCUCAGCUCCCACUCUGCUCUGGUCACCUCACCUUCCUGAACUUCAUCUGUUUGCUCAGCAAGAUGGGGUGCGAGGGUUGCAGUGAGGACAGAAAGAGGAGAGACUGAGGGUGCGGCACAGCAGGUCCCACACAUGGUAGGUGCUCACUACCCUGGCUGCCGACACUCAGUGCAGAGCCUGGGGAGACAGUGAGGCUUCCUGGUCCCGCACACGUGCUCUUGCCUGCCCUGUGCCCUUGUGCGCGUGCGUGCGAGCACACACACACACACACACACACACACACACACACACCGCGGUGCGCACAUGAGCGUGCUGUAACCUGCGUGGGGUGAGAGGAGAAAGCCCCAUCCCUGUCCAAGAUAAACACAGGAAGUGAAGAUCCCGGAGUGUCAGGGUGAGGUUGGGAGCUGUCCAUAAACUCUGGGCAGAGCCGGAGGGUGGAGGGGGCCCGAGGAGGGAGGGAGGGUGUGGGAGUCUGGGCAGGGGCCUGAGUUUGACAUCCGCUGUCCUGAGUUCAAAUGUGAAAAGUUGAAAUGGUGACUAAGCUUCGGGGCAGUCUUGGCUCUGCCUGCCUGCCUGCCCGUCUGUCUUGUCUGUCUGUGGAUCUGUCCAGGGCAACACCUGCACCCACCCACCUCUCACUUUCCAGCCCUGGGAUCUGUGAGGCCCCCACACUUUGGGAAGCCAGAACCUAUGUUCAGCAAAUGUUUGUUACAGGAAUGCACAGCUGGAAAGAAACAGGAUUGCCGGUCUGGGAUGCUCCUGACCCAGUGCUUGUCCUCGUGUGGAGAGAUUACAGCAGGGGCAGCGGCCACGCCCCAGAUGCCCACCUUCCUUGCUGGAGUCCUGGAUUCUGCUUCCCCUGUAGCCCACUGGAUCACAGGGGAGAGCUCCAUCAAAGCCACUCGGCCAGAGGCAGCUGCGUCUGGUCCAAAGCAGGGGCCCGCCCUUGGCUCCACGCUGCCCCACAGCACAUGCCAGGCUGA
rnacentral:lncRNA from 1 species